AGUGAACGCUGGCGGUAGGCCUAACACAUGCAAGUCGAACGGCAGCACAGUAAGAGCUUGCUCUUACGGGUGGCGAGUGGCGGACGGGUGAGGAAUACAUCGGAAUCUACUUUUUCGUGGGGGAUAACGUAGGGAAACUUACGCUAAUACUGCAUACGACCUACGGGUGAAAGCAGGGGAUCUUCGGACCUUGCGCGAUUGAAUGAGCCGAUGUCGGAUUAGCUAGUUGACGGGGUAAAGGCCCACCAAGGCGACGAUCCGUAGCUGGUCUGAGAGGAUGAUCAGCCACACUGGAACUGAGACACGGUCCAGACUCCUACGGGAGGCAGCAGUGGGGAAUAUUGGACAAUGGGCGCAAGCCUGAUCCAGCCAUACCGCGUGGGUGAAGAAGGCCUUCGGGUUGUAAAGCCCUUUUGUUGGGAAAGAAAAGCAGCAGGUUAAUACCCCGCUGUUCUGACGGUACCCAAAGAAUAAGCACCGGCUAACUUCGUG
rnacentral:rRNA from 1 species